AGAGUUUGAUCCUGGCUCAGGACGAACGCUGGCGGCGUGCCUAAUACAUGCAAGUAGAACGCUGAAGAGAGGAGCUUGCUCUUCUUGGAUGAGUUGCGAACGGGUGAGUAACGCGUAGGUAACCUGCCUUGUAGCGGGGGAUAACUAUUGGAAACGAUAGCUAAUACCGCAUAACAAUGGAUGACACAUGUCAUUUAUUUGAAAGGGGCAAUUGCUCCACUACAAGAUGGACCUGCGUUGUAUUAGCUAGUAGGUGAGGUAACGGCUCACCUAGGCGACGAUACAUAGCCGACCUGAGAGGGUGAUCGGCCACACUGGGACUGAGACACGGCCCAGACUCCUACGGGAGGCAGCAGUAGGGAAUCUUCGGCAAUGGGGGCAACCCUGACCGAGCAACGCCGCGUGAGUGAAGAAGGUUUUCGGAUCGUAAAGCUCUGUUGUAAGUCAAGAACGAGUGUGAGAGUGGAAAGUUCACACUGUGACGGUAGCUUACCAGAAAGGGACGGCUAACUACGUGCCAGCAGCCGCGGUAAUACGUAGGUCCCGAGCGUUGUCCGGAUUUAUUGGGCGUAAAGCGAGCGCAGGCGGUUUGAUAAGUCUGAAGUUAAAGGCUGUGGCUCAACCAUAGUUCGCUUUGGAAACUGUCAAACUUGAGUGCAGAAGGGGAGAGUGGAAUUCCAUGUGUAGCGGUGAAAUGCGUAGAUAUAUGGAGGAACACCGGUGGCGAAAGCGGCUCUCUGGUCUGUAACUGACGCUGAGGCUCGAAAGCGUGGGGAGCGAACAGGAUUAGAUACCCUGGUAGUCCACGCCGUAAACGAUGAGUGCUAGGUGUUGGAUCCU
rnacentral:rRNA from 1 species